rnacentral:misc_RNA from 1 species
CUUGCAACUAUGUUUCCUUUACACCAAGGCAAUGAGCUGUGCUUCCAGAUUUCUUCCAAUGCUCCCCACAAAAUCCCACAAGAUAUAAUUCUCCCUCACCCUGUACUCUAUGGCAGUCCUGAUUUAACAGAUGACUUGGGAAAAAGUAGGCGGCGAAGAUCCAUUUCUAUGGACAAUGAUGAGACUGCUAGGGAUAACGGUAAUAAUAAGAAGAAGUUAUUGCACAGGGAUAUUGAACGCCAAAGGAGGCAGGAAAUGGCCACCCUUUAUGCAUCCCUUCGAUCUUUACUCCCUCUUGAAUAUAUCAAGGGAAAGCGUUCAAUAUCUGAUCACAUGAACGAGGCUGUGAAUUAUAUAAAGCACCUGCAGAAGAGGAUCAAAGAACUAGAUGCCAAGAGGAAUGAGUUAAAGCAGAAGACUAAUUUUAGAGAUAUUCCCCUACAAAGUAGCGGAAGUUCAAGCAACUGUUCCCCAAGUACGGGAGUCAUAAUCCGGCCUAAUUUGGGUGGCAUUGAGAUUGUGUUCAGCAGUGGCUUUAGGGAGCAAGAUUUGACACUAUCAGGAGCACUGCAACUACUCCUUGAAGCUGAGCUUUCUGUAGUUAACUGUGUUUCCACCAAAGUGAAUGAAAGGGUAUUUCACACCGUCCAGGCUGAGGUAUAUAUAAUCACUUAUUCUCAAUUGCUAGGUUUAGGGUUUUAAGCAUACAUGUUUUGAAGUUGCUAUCAAAUUGUAAUUAAUCAAGUUUAGGAGCAGCUUAACUUCACUUGUGAUGUUUACUUCACAGGUGAAAGAUUCAGCUUGCUUAAAUCUGUCCGAGCUGCAGCAGAAAUUAAACCCGCUUGUCCCUUGAUCUUAGUGAUGUUCUUUAUUCAAAUUACUAAGUUGGUGAUUUGAGGACCCCAUUUCUGCACUGUACAUUUCUAACUUUUGAUCCGAACACUUGACUUGGUAGUAAUUGCUUGAUUAGAUGAUUUUCCUUAUAAUAAGAUGAAUGCGAGGAUGCUCUACCUUCAUGUUUUUGAGAAAUGUGUCUUUUUGUUAGUAUAGUUAUAUGAUAAAAUAUUUGAGGUCAGUUAGUUCAGAAAUUUUCUUUAAGCCUUAUGUGCGGCAUAACGUGCAUUAGCUUAUAGAAGGCGAUGUAAUUUGGAUGAUUUAGCUUUUUAAAGGAUUUUGUGGCCUAUGAGAUUAAGAACUACUUGAGAAGAGCAGUUCAUUAGAAAAUCAUGUGUAAUGGUCAGUUUUUCUUUAAUGGUCAGUUUUUCUUUCGUUGUUGCUGUAUUGGUAUCAUGUAAUUCUUUUAAAUCAUUAUUACUUUCAACUAACUCCUUUUUCAGGUUAGAGUCAUAUGAGAUCCUGAA